rnacentral:lncRNA from 1 species
AAUCUGUUGAGAAGUGAUCAUUGCUUACUGGGCUGUCUAGCUCAUUACCUUCUAUUUUACUGUUUUUACAGAUGUUGAGGAAUUAAGAUGAUACAAGAUAUGAAUGGAAGAGAGAUCAGAAGCAAAAUCUCUAUACUUUUAUUUUCAGUUGAAAAUCUUAUUAAAAUUGAUGUAAGGACUAUGAAUUAUUGUUGAAUUUAUUAAGCAUUAAAGAAAAAAUUUAAGUCGUUAUAUUUUGGAUUUAAAUUAUUGACUAAUUAUUUCACUGUUGUUUUAGGAUAGUAUGAUAAGAUGCCUUGUAUACUUAUGGAAAGAGUUUUCUAUGAAUAUGCGGCGGUUGCCAUGACCCUCGAUUCACAAUCUC